AAACUUUCAAAACGGAUCUCUUGGCUCUGGCAUCGAUGAAGAACGCAGCGAAAUGCGAUAAGUAAUGUGAAUUGCAGAAUCCAGUGAAUCAUCGAAUCUUUGAACGCACAUUGCGCCCGCCAGCAUUCUGGCGGGCAUGCCUGUUCGAGCGUCAUUUC
rnacentral:rRNA from 1 species